rnacentral:rRNA from 1 species
UACAGAGGUGGCAAGCGUUGUUCGGAAUUACUGGGCGUAAAGGGCGCGUAGGCGGUUCGUUAAGUCCGCUGUGAAAGUCGGGGGCUCAACCCUCGAAUGCCGGUGGAUACUGUCGGGCUAGAGUGCGGAAGAGGCGAGUGGAAUUCCUGGUGUAGCGGUGAAAUGCGCAGAUAUCAGGAGGAACACCAAUUGCGAAGGCAGCUCGCUGGGACGUAACUGACGCUGAGACGCGAAAGCGUGGGGAGCAAACAGG